rnacentral:rRNA from 1 species
ACUCAAAGGAAUUGACGGGGACCCGCACAAGCGGUGGAUGAUGUGGAUUAAUUCGAUGCAACGCGAAAAACCUUACCUACCCUUGACAUGGUCCGAAGCCUGUAGAGAUAUGGGCGUGCUCGCAAGAGAACGGAUACACAGGUGCUGCAUGGCUGUCGUCAGCUCGUGUCGUGAGAUGUUGGGUUAAGUCCCGCAACGAGCGCAACCCUUGUCAUUAAUUGCCAGCAUUAAGUUGGGCACUUUAAUGAGACUGCCGGUGACAAACCGGAGGAAGGUGGGGAUGACGUCAAGUCCUCAUGGCCCUUAUGGGUAGGGCUUCACACGUCAUACAAUGGUGCAUACAGAGGGUUGCGAAGCCGCGAGGUGGUGCUAAUCCCAGAAAGUGCAUCGUAGUCCGGAUUGGAGUCUGCAACUCGACUCCAUGAAGUUGGAAUCGCUAGUAAUCGCGGAUCAGCAUGUCGCGGUGAAUACGUUCCCGGGUCUUGUACACACCGCCCGU